rnacentral:rRNA from 1 species
CCCGUCAGGACGANCGCUGGCGGCGUGCNUAAUACAUGCAAGUCGAACGCUUUUUCUUUCACCGGAGCUUGCUCCACCGAAAGAAAAAGAGUGGCGAACGGGUGAGUAACACGUGGGUAACCUGCCCAUCAGAAGGGGAUAACACUUGGAAACAGGUGCUAAUACCGUAUAACACUAUUUUCCGCAUGGAAGAAAGUUGAAAGGCGCUUUUGCGUCACUGAUGGAUGGACCCGCGGUGCAUUAGCUAGUUGGUGAGGUAACGGCUCACCAAGGCAACGAUGCAUAGCCGACCUGAGAGGGUGAUCGGCCACACUGGGACUGAGACACGGCCCAGACUCCUACGGGAGGCAGCAGUAGGGAAUCUUCGGCAAUGGACGAAAGUCUGACCGAGCAACGCCGCGUGAGUGAAGAAGGUUUUCGGAUCGUAAAACUCUGUUGUUAGAGAAGAACAAGGAUGAGAGUAAAAUGUUCAUCCCUUGACGGUAUCUAACCAGAAAGCCACGGCUAACUACGUGCCAGCAGCCGCGGUAAUACGUAGGUGGCAAGCGUUGUCCGGAUUUAUUGGGCGUAAAGCGAGCGCAGGCGGUUUCUUAAGUCUGAUGUGAAAGCCCCCGGCUCAACCGGGGAGGGUCAUUGGAAACUGGGAGACUUGAGUGCAGAAGAGGAGA